UACGAAGGGGGCUAGCGUUGUUCGGAAUCACUGGGCGUAAAGCGCGCGUAGGCGGCUUGUUAAGUCAGGGGUGAAAUGCCGAGGCUCAACCUCGGAACUGCCUUUGAUACUGGCAAUCUUGAGUCCGGGAGAGGUGAGUGGAACUCCUAGUGUAGAGGUGAAAUUCGUAGAUAUUAGGAAGAACACCAGUGGCGAAGGCGGCUCACUGGCCCGGAACUGACGCUGAUGUGCGAAAGCGUGGGGAGCAAACAGG
rnacentral:rRNA from 1 species